rnacentral:rRNA from 1 species
UACAGAGGUCUCAAGCGUUGUUCGGAUUCAUUGGGCGUAAAGGGUGCGUAGGUGGCGGGGCAAGUUUGGUGUGAAAUCCCGGGGCUCAACCCCGGAACUGCACUGAAUACUGCCUUGCUUGAGCACUGGAGAGGGAACUGGAAUUUACGGUGUAGCAGUGAAAUGCGUAGAUAUCGUAAGGAAGACCAGUGGCGUAGGCGAGUUCCUGGACAGUUGCUGACACUGAGGCACGAAGGCUAGGGGAGCAAACGGG